rnacentral:rRNA from 1 species
AACGAACGUUGGCGGCGUGGAUUAGGCAUGCAAGUCGAAUGAAUCCCAUCUGGGUAACUGGGUGGGGGAAAUGGCGAAAGGGGCAGUAAGGCAUGGGCAACCUACCCCGGGGACGGGGAUAGCUAUUCUAACGAGUAGGUAAUACCUGGCGAUUCGGCGAAGAGGCAUCUCUUUGCCGGGAAACGAGUUUCGCCUCGGGAGGGGCUCAUGUAGUAUUAGCUUGUUGGUGAGGUAACGGCUCACCAAGGCAAAGAUGCUUAGCGGGUGUGAGAGCACGACCCGCGCCACUGGCACUGAGACACUGGCCAGACUCCUACGGGAGACUGCAGUCGAGGAUCUUCGGCAAUGGGCGCAAGCCUGACCGAGCGACGCCGCGUGUGCGAAGAAGGCC